rnacentral:lncRNA from 1 species
CAAACUUUGAGAUGUAGACUAAUAUUUAUUUAUGUUAGUUCUUUGCGUUGGCAUAUCUUCGCAUAAAUUAGACUGGAAUAUUGGUUUUUACCGACCAGAAGACUACUUCCAGUUUUCGAAUCGUUACGACGCUUCCGCCAGAAUCGCAACGAAUCACAGCUGUAUGUUAAGAGGGAAUUGAAAACACUCUGUUUAUAGGGACAAGGUUUUUAGAGUUCGCUAAUUUAGGAUAAGCAUACAUGCGUCACAGGUGAACCAAUUAGCCGGCCUGAAACCUUUCCAGCUUUAUAUUAAACUUCAUAGAGUUUGUGUUUCUGUAGCUAAUCUGAGGGAUAUGUUGUGGCCUAGGUUCGAACCCGCGCACACAUACAUGGUUCGUUUCGUGCCGGAAGUUAGCCGUCGCAAACACAGGUAGUAGUGGGAACAUUUAGGUGAUCAGGUUCGUCAGUAUAACACACCAAGCCAUUUUAACCUAUUUCAUUGGUCUGUGAAGAUACAAAUUUAAAUAUGCAUACAAAGGGGUGGACCAUAAGGACGACAAAAGAUCCUAUUUGUCGUGUCGCUUAGUAGGUAAACAAAUAGCGAAAAUAGAGAUUUGUCUUAUACUCGGAUGUCGUGGCAAUUUCCCUUUAUGAAUUCACGUUAACCUGCUACUACUAUUUUUCUUUCUUUUUUCAAUAUAUAACUAACACACAAACUUCACUAUCUUAAAGAGUCGCCACCUAGGCUAAGGGUAGCUGUCACGACAAGCAGCUCUAGCAGUCCAUGCCUAAUCUAAAUGGCGAGAAAUGGAAGCAACGAAAUUGGAAGGCCACAUGCGGACAUGCUCAAGGUAAUUAAGAUCGAUCGCCGGUUGACCCCUUGGAAAUGUAAUAUAUAUACACCAUCGUACCAUCCCUUUACCAAUCGAUGAGCAGAAACUAGUUAAUGAAUUCUAUAUUUUCCUCUCGAGUCAUUCAUGCUAUGCUCGUGAGCCUGACUAUGCAAAAGAACCAAUCGUCACUCAAAAUACAUCAUCAGUAUAUCAAAUAAUAAUAACGUAAAAACAACUAUAGAAAGGAAUAGAAGUAACGUUAUAAAAUUGACACCAACGAGAUGAACAUUUGAACAUAUCGUCAUCGGAAGGACAUCGUGUUCUCGAUUCGGUCUGUCGCAGAUCGUCAAUAUUGAUCUUUUUAAGAAGCACUAUUUUACCUUAAUUACUUGGCCUAUGAGGAGGUGCGUGCGUGCGUGCGUGCUUGCCAUACUGUUCAUUCGUAGUAGGGAGAUAAUAGUAAUACGUUAAUAUAGAAGGAUAAAAUAUACCCGGUAAAAUGUACAACAUCAUCUAUGUGAAGCAGUGAAAAAGUUAGACACAAAACAAGCGCUCCCAUAGCAGUAACGGCGUGAAUGAUAAUAAUAAUAUUUGAAUAAUAUUAUUUUGAUAUAGAUAGAAAGUGUGAUAAACAAAAGAAGACAACGAUGUUGUUGGAUCAUAUAUAUAUAACGAAAACGGUGUGAUAAGUUUAGACAAUACGUAAUGUCAUGGGGCGACUGCCUCUUGACCGGACGCUCUGGGGUUAUGGGAUUCUUCAUAUCGUGCUCAUAAUGGGCUUAAUAUCUAUAACAAUGACGUAUGCAGCAGUGGUGUAACAACUGACUUCUAUAGCACAUCGUAUAUAUGUACGUUUAUAUCAGAUCAAAAUAGGAAUCACGACGUCCGGGCCGAAAAUUAAGGAACUUGAUAAUUUUGUUCAGAUUGAAGACACGCCUGCCUGCUCCAUCAAAUAAAUUGUCGUGCUUAUUACUACUACCUCGCAACCGCAUCGAUAGAUCGCCGCGCAAAUACCGUUCUGUGUGCUAAAACUCAGAAGCGUAUUACACCGGUAACACCUCAACUAGGCGGCUGUUUUUUCGGAGCGACCAUCGCCUGCCCAGGUAAACGCUAUAGCACAAAUUUCAUUUCUCAUAGAAAAUCGCAUGCAAUAUACGCAAAACCUUUUAUAUACAAAGUGUAUAAAUAGAGAUAUAUGUAUCCACAUAUGGCUUUUUUUUUGUAGUUUCCGCAAAACGAUCAACAUAUAUCAACAUUUAUUCCACCUUUAUUUCAAUGGAGGCGUCUUAUUAUACGUGUGAUAAAUGUUAUCUUGUUGUACGAUCGACCUGAAAAUUAAUGGAUCUUAUCAAAACACUGAUUUUGGUAUUUGUAGAGUUUGUUUGCAUACAUACAUACAUACAUACAUACAUACAUACAUAUAUAGGUUUGCAGGUUCGUUCAACCCAAAAACAACUUCUCAGGUUGAUUUUUGGUGUGUCGUUUUUGAACGUCUGUGCUUAAGUUCAAGCAGAAAGCAAAGCUUAUUUAUUUUUAUGAAACGUAUGUUAAGUUGGUUGAUUAUAAAACGAGGCUAAACAUUGUUUGACGUUUGAAACAUUUGGAAACAGCAGAAGGGCGGCGGCCACCAGCAUCAUCCGCGUUCACAUAUCAUCAAAUGUAUAUUCCAGUGAAAAUUGUAUUUUGUAACAACAUGUGCUGCUCAAGUUUGUAAUGCAGGAAUAAGGGUGGUCAGCUUGUUAUAGAAAAAUUGUGCUUAAAUUGUGCG